AUCUUGAGUGGGUUUUGUUAAGUGUUUAUGCUUAUAACAAGUCCAAGUUGAUGCAUGUUAGGUGUUAGGACUUUUAAGAGUAGUUGUAGUAUUAGAAUGUGUAUACAAGAGUGGAAUAGGAGUUUUACAUCUUUGAUUGAAUCUCUGUUGUUUAAAGCCUUGCUAUAGUUCACAAGUUGUUAGUUUGGGGUUUUAUGCAAUUGAACUAAAAUUUUUCUCUUAUUUUGGGUUUUGAUGAAAAGUUGAUUUUUUGUAUGGAUUUGGAGAUGAA
rnacentral:misc_RNA from 1 species